UUUCCUACGGGGCGCAGCAGUGAGGAAUAUUGGUCAAUGGGCGGAAGCCUGAACCAGCCAAGUCGCGUGAGGGAAGAAGGCCCUGCGGGUCGCAGACCUCUUUGGACGGGGAGCAAGGCCGCCGACGUGUCGGCGGAAGGAGAGUACCCGUAGAACAAGCAUCGGCUAACUCCGUGCCAGCAGCCGCGGUAAUACGUAGGUGGCGAGCGUUAUCCGGAAUGAUUGGGCGUAAAGGGUGCGUAGGCGGCCUGCUAAGUCUGGAGUGAAAGGUACCGGCUCAACCGGUACAGGCUCUGGAAACUGGC
rnacentral:rRNA from 1 species